UAUCUGUGUGCACAAAAACCUGUCUGUCCCAAUGGCUGGGCCUUUCAAGACAACGCAGUCGCUUUCAAGAUGCAGAAAUCCUUCAACAUGGACCUGUCCCUCAGGACCUCGUGGAUCUGACAUUGUGACUUGGCAGCACUGAAUCACAGGGCAAGAAUCUUUCCAAGAGGUGGCAUGCACUGUGGACAAGGUCACCCUUUUAUUCCUGAUGGGUUAAUCCAAGGUUUUCCUCUCAAAACCCCACACAAAAAUGGUUGAAAAACAUGAAAGAGGCUCCAGAGAACUAUGAAAAACACAGAAGCUUUGCAAGUGAGAGAUCAUGCAUGCGCAGAUCCAGGCCAUUUACAAGAAUUUAAAACCAACAUCAAUUCAAAUUUGGACCAAAAACAAGCAUAUUAAAUAAAAGUAAUCUGGGAAGGCCUAUUGAAGGAUGUCUUUAACUCCCUUUUGAAGAUGGCAGUCUGGAAUAUAUGACAGACUUCUCCCAGCAAGGCAUGCCAGAGUUGAGGGGUGGCCACUGGGAAAGCCCUUGGGGUAGCGGACGUUAAUUUUGCAGAAGCAAACUUCAGAAGACUAUUUCCAGAAGACCAUAGCAGGCGAGGUGGAAUGUAUGGGCAAAGGUGCCCCCGGCGGUAUUUUGAACCUGAGUCAUG